rnacentral:lncRNA from 1 species
ACGAUGCUGUCCUGUUUUAGCCUUUACUGUAAUUCUACUUGUUUUGCUAUUUCAAUGCACGCUAAGAUGAAACCAUUUCUUGCAGUCUGAAUGACAUGCCAGAAAUAAUGAAGCAGAUGCCACCCCUCCCUGUAAAGCUAAAUGACGAGCUUGCCAGCUUAAUCCUUCCGUCUCGGCCACCAUUGCCAAAUAAAUCAUGAGAUCCUGGUUUCUAUAGUGCUUGGGCUAGAUGUUUCUUAGAGUUUACUGAAGUUGAGAUCCUCUCUUGCCAAACAAAUCAUGAGAUCCUGGUUUCUAUAGGGAUUGGGUUAUCGAUAGAUGUUUCUUAGAGUUUACUGAAGUUGAGAUCCUCUGGAUUACUUAGAUAGCAUAAUAAAAUAGUGAAUCUAGUCUAGUUAUUCCUCGUGGAAAUAUGUAUCAAGAUGAGUUCCUUUGGGCUGUUAGGACUCUCCAUUUGUUUACAUUAGUUAAUUCCUUUUUUUAUAUUAUGUAGUUUU